AUGGCGCAAAGAGCGGGAUGUAAACGCAUCAUUAUCAACUCGGAUAACCUGGAGGUGAUUGAUACUAUGCAUGAUGGACGGCAGUGGUUGAGUGCGGCGGCAGCAAUCUUCGACGAUUGUUUUCACUAUGCCUAUGAUUUCGUUGCUACUAGUUUUGAGCAUUGUAAUAGAGAAGCAAAUAAACUUGCUCACGAGCUUGCUAGAUUAGCUAGAUUUUCUUUGACUUCUGAUUGGUUUGAGGAACCUUUAAAUGAAAUUGUAACACUCCUCACAAAUGAUGUACUACUUAUUUAAAAUGAAUAA
rnacentral:rRNA from 1 species